rnacentral:rRNA from 1 species
AUGAACGCUGACAGAAUGCUUAACACCUGCAAGUCCCCUUGAAUUUGGGUUUUUAACUUCGGUUUGGGUGGCGGACGGGUGAGUAACGCGUAAAGAACUUGCCUCACAGCUAGGGACAACAUUUGGAAACGAAUGCUAAUACCUAACAUUAUGAUAAUAGGGCAUCCUAUAAUUAUGAAAGCUAUAAGCGCUGUGAGAGAGCUUUGCGUCCCAUUAGCUAGUUGGAGAGGUAACGGCUCACCAAGGCGAUGAUGGGUAGCCGGCCUGAGAGGGUGAUCGGCCACAAGGGGACUGAGACACGGCCCUUACUCCUACGGGAGGCAGCAGUGGGGAAUAUUGGACAAUGGACCAAGAGUCUGAUCCAGCAAUUCUGUGUGCACGAUGAAGUUUUUCGGAAUGUAAAGUGCUUUCAGUUGGGAAGAAAGAAAUGACGGUACCAACAGAAGAAGUGACGGCUAAAUACGUG